AGAAGGAGAGAGAAUUCACAGAA
rnacentral:piRNA from 1 species